rnacentral:tRNA from 1 species
GGGCCUUUAGCUCAGUUGGUAGAGCAGCGGACUUUUAAUCCGCGGGUCGUGGGUUCGAUCCCCACAGGGCCUACC